AGAAGCUUUCUAUCUCUCCCGCUAUGUCCACGUCGGAUUCCACGUUGGAAAUACCUCUCCUGACGUUGCGACACGUUGAAACUCACCGUUUCACUAAAACUCUUCUACUGUGGGCUUGGGUCGCGUAUAUUUGGUUUAUGCUCUGAAGAUUGAAGAUUUUUCUGGGCCGACGGAGAAGAGGUCGCCUCUAACCCUAAUACGGGUAAGGCGAUGAAAAGCGGUUCGUCUUCGUCUCUACUCUUCGUGUGACGGCGGCGAUGCGGUGACGAUUGUGUUUCUUCUCACAACCUGAAACGGUCGGUUUAAUGGCUUCGUCUUUAAUCCCAUCGAUUUGCACCUCCACGCUUCAAAGCGUUGCUUAAGAUCUGAGUGGCGGUGUGGGUUCAGUAUAAAUAUAUAUAUGACCGAGCAAAAGCUGUUGAAAUAUUAAGAUCUGGAAGUUUUACAAAGAGAUCACAUUGAUUCUGACACGAGAGAAAUUAAGGUGAAUUUUGCUUUUGCCUUGAUAUAAUUGAAGUAUUGGACUAUCGAAAUUAUAUACACUGUUAAAAGUGUGUGUGUGUGUGUGUUUGAUACCUCCAUAUGGAAAAAGGGCAAUAGUCCAGUUAUGGUGUUACAAAAUCAGCCAGGUACGUGGAUUCAAAGGUGGAGGUAAAUGUGCAUUGGAUUUGUCUGUAUGGAUUUAACUGGAAUAGAUUUAACUUGAGUUAUUGAAGUUGUUUCUAUGUAUGGUUCAAGAUUAGCAAGCUCUGAGUUACUAUGAAGAGUCCAAGAGUUAUCAACGUUGAUAACCGCAACAUUUGUUCUUUCUUUAUGAUAUUGAUGACUCUUUGUUUUAUCACUGAUCCAGGAAGCUGCAUUAUUCUAUGAGACCAUCGUCUAUACGUACAUACACAUAUGGUGAAGUUUAAAGUGUCUACCUUGGGGUCGUGUGUUUGUUCAUUGGUUAAUGAAGUUACAAGGGAGUAAUUUUGGUAGUAGUUUUACUGUCUUAAGCUUUGAGAUGGGUGGUCAUUCUCAAAGGACUCGAGUAGGAAGAGCAGCAAAUCAUCCUCAAAAGUUCCAAGAAAGCCCCGUACAACCAUAGUUAUAGGGAGGAAAAAUACGUGGUGGCCAAGAAAGCCCCGUACAACCAUUUUAGGAAGUUUUACAGUUCAACACAUUUCUCACAUAUUGUUUAGAAAUUUAUAAUUUUCUCAUCUAGCAACUGUAAACUUUUCUUUUUUUUUUCAUAAUUCUUUGUGUUUAUUGUAUAUAGUUGAGUUUUCUUUC